GGAUUAGUGGCGAACGGGUGAGUAACACGUGGGCAAUCUGCCCUGCACUCUGGGACAAGCCCUGGAAACGGGGUCUAAUACCGGAUAAUACCUUCCCUCGCAUGGGGGUGGGUUCAAAGCUCCGGCGGUGCAGGAUGAGCCCGCGGCCUAUCAGCUUGUUGGUGAGGUAGUGGCUCACCAAGGCGACGACGGGUAGCCGGCCUGAGAGGGCGACCGGCCACACUGGGACUGAGACACGGCCCAGACUCCUACGGGAGGCAGCAGUGGGGAAUAUUGCACAAUGGGCGAAAGCCUGAUGCAGCGACGCCGCGUGAGGGAUGACGGCCUUCGGGUUGUAAACCUCUUUCAGCAGGGAAGAAGCGCAAGUGACGGUACCUGCAGAAGAAGCGCCGGCUAACUACGUGCCAGCAGCCGCGGUAAUACGUAGGGCGCAAGCGUUGUCCGGAAUUAUUGGGCGUAAAGAGCUCGUAGGCGGUCUGUCGCGUCGGAUGUGAAAGCCCGGGGCUUAACCCCGGGUCUGCAUUCGAUACGGGCAGACUAGAGUGUGGUAGGGGAGAUCGGAAUUCCUGGUGUAGCGGUGAAAUGCGCAGAUAUCAGGAGGAACACCGGUGGCGAAGGC
rnacentral:rRNA from 1 species